AUACGGAGGAUCCGAGCGUUAUCCGGAUUUAUUGGGUUUAAAGGGUGCGCAGGCGGCCAUUUAAGUCAGCGGUUAAAUCGUGGGGCUCAACCCCAUUCUGCCGUUGAUACUGGGUGGCUUGAUUGCGGUCGAGGUUGGCGGAAUUCGUUGUGUAGCGGUGAAAUGCAUAGAUAUGACGAAGAACACCGAUUGCGUAGGCAGCUGACCAGAUCGCAAAUGACGCUCAUGCACGAAAGUGCGGGGAUCGAACAGGAUUAGAUACCCUGGUAGUCCGCACAGUAAACGAUGAAUACUUGUUUUCGGCGAUAUAAUGUCGGAGGCAAAGCGAAAGCGAUAAGUAUUCCACCUGGGGAGUACGCCGGCAACGGUGGAACUUAAAGGAAUUGACGGGG
rnacentral:rRNA from 1 species